UACGUAGGGUGCGAGCGUUAAUCGGAUUUACUGGGCGUAAAGCGUGCGCAGGCGGCCCGUUAAGACAGGUGUGAAAUCCCUGGGCUCAACCUAGGAAUUGCGCUUGUAACUGGCGGGCUCGAGUACGGUAGAGGGGGGUGGAAUUCCUGGUGUAGCAGUGAAAUGCGUAGAGAUCAGGAGGAACACCGAUGGCGAAGGCAGCGCCCUGGGCCUGUACUGACGCUCAUGCACGAAAGCGUGGGGAGCAAACAGG
rnacentral:rRNA from 1 species